GAUGAACGCUGGCGGCGUGCCUAAUACAUGCAAGUCGAGCGAACGGACGAGAAGCUUGCUUCUCUGAUGUUAGCGGCGGACGGGUGAGUAACACGUGGAUAACCUACCUAUAAGACUGGGAUAACUUCGGGAAACCGGAGCUAAUACCGGAUAAUAUUUUGAACCGCAUGGUUCAAAAGUUAAAUACGGUCUUGCUGUCACUUAUAGAUGUAUCCGCGCUGCAUUAGCUAGUUGGUAAGGUAACGGCUUACCAAGGCAACGAUGCAUAGCCGACCUGAGAGGGUGAUCGGCCACACUGGAACUGAGACACGGUCCAGACUCCUACGGGAGGCAGCAGUAGGGAAUCUUCCGCAAUGGGCGAAAGCCUGACGGAGCAACGCCGCGUGAGUGAUGAAGGUCUUCGGAUCGUAAAACUCUGUUAUUAGGGAAGAACAUAUGUGUAAGUAACUGUGCACAUCUUGACGGUACCUAAUCAGAAAGCCACGGCUAACUACGUG
rnacentral:rRNA from 1 species